rnacentral:rRNA from 1 species
UACGGAGGGGGCGAGCGUUAUUCGGAAUUAUUGGGCGUAAAGGGCGCGUAGGCGGCUUGAUGUGUCAAAGGUGAAAUCCCUCGGCUCAACUGAGGAACUGCCUUUGAAACUGUCUGGCUUGAGGCCGGGAGAGGGUAGCGGAAUUCCCAGUGUAGCGGUGAAAUGCGUAGAUACUGGGAGGAACACCGGUGGCGAAGGCGGCUACCUGGACCGGUACUGACGCUGAUGCGCGAAAGCGUGGGGAGCAAACGGG